UACAGAGGUCUCAAGCGUUGUUCGGAAUCACUGGGCGUAAAGGGUGCGUAGGCGGAACGCCAAGUCAGAUGUGAAAGACCGGGGGCUCAACCCCGGAACGGCAUCCGAUACUGGCGAUCUAGAGGGCUCGAGGGGAGUGUGGAAUUCACGGUGUAGCAGUGAAAUGCGUAGAUAUCGUGAGGAACACCAGUGGCGAAGGCGACACUCUGGAGAGCAACUGACGCUGAGGCACGAAGGCCAGGGGAGCGAACGGG
rnacentral:rRNA from 1 species